CAAUAGCGUAUAUUAAAGUUGUUGCAGUUAAAAAGCUCGUAGUUGGAUUUGUGGCGUACGGUGUGUUCCGGGCACUUGUUGUCUGAGUAACCUGCUGUUGCCAUCCUUGGGUGGAAUCUGUGUGGCAUUAGGUUGUCGUGCAGGGGAUGCCCAUCAUUUACUGUGAAAAAAUUAGAGUGUUCAAAGCAGGCUUAUGCCGUUGAAUAUAUUAGCAUGGAAUAAUGAGAUAGGACUUUUUUGCUAUUUUGUUGGUUUGCGCAAAGAGGUAAUGAUUAAUAGGGACAGUUGGGGGUAUUCGUAUUCCAUUGUCAGAGGUGAAAUUCUUGGAUUUUUGGAAGACGAACUACUGCGAAAGCAUUUACCAAGGAUGUUUUCAUUAA
rnacentral:rRNA from 1 species